ACCACGAUAGCACAGCUGGCAGAGCAUCUUCCCGGUAAGCGGACGGCCGCCGGUUCGCUUCCGGCUCGUGGCG
rnacentral:tRNA from 1 species